rnacentral:rRNA from 1 species
GCCAGAAUGAUGGCUGAGUGGUACAGCGAAAGCGUUAAGUGUUCCACCUGGGGAGUACGCCGGCAACGGUGAAACUCAAAGGAAUUGACGGGGGCCCGCACAAGCGGAGGAACAUGUGGUUUAAUUCGAUGAUACGCGAGGAACCUUACCCGGGCUCAAACGACACAGGAAUACUUUUGAAAGGAGGUAGCCCUACGGGGUCUGUGUCGAGGUGCUGCAUGGUUGUCGUCAGCUCGUGCCGUGAGGUGUCGGCUUAAGUGCCAUAACGAGCGCAACCCCUAUCGCCAGUUACCAUCAAGUAAAGUUGGGGACUCUGGCGAGACUGCCGGCGCAAGCUGAGAGGAAGGCGGGGAUGACGUCAAAUCAGCACGGCCCUUACGUCCGGGGCGACACACGUGUUACAAUGGCAGGUACAGAGAGAAGCCAGGUGGUGACACCGAGCGGAACUCGAAAGCCUGUCUCAGUUCGGAUCGGAGUCUGCAACCCGACUCCGUGAAGCUGGAUUCGCUAGUAAUCGC